rnacentral:lncRNA from 1 species
CGCUUAAUCUGCUUAAAAACAUCCUGAGAGAGAAUAGGAACAAAACUGGUUUGAAAAAUUGUAUUUGAAGAGUGUUAUCUUUGUUGCAGUGCCUGCAGGGAAGGGGCAGAGCUGAGGGUUCAGCACCAUCUGUCCUUGGGGACUUGACUCAAAGAUAUAGAAAGACCCUUCUGG